rnacentral:rRNA from 1 species
AUUGAACGCUGGCGGCAGGCUUAACACAUGCAAGUCGAGCGAGCGGCGGACGGGUGAGUAAUGUCUGGGAAACUGCCUGAUGGAGGGGGAUAACUACUGGACACGGUAGCUAAUACCGCAUACCAUCAGAUGUGCCCAGAUGGGAUUAGCUAGUAGGUGGGGUAAUGGCUCACCUAGGCGAAGAUCCCUAGCUGGUCUGAGAGGAUGAACAGCCACACUGGAACUUAGACACGGUCCAGACGCCUACGGGAGGCAGAAGUGGGGAAUAGUGCACAAUGGGCGAAGGCCUGAUGCAGCCAUGCCGCGUGUUUGAAGAAGGCCUUCGGGUUGUAAAGCACUUUCAUCGAGGAGGCGUUACUCGCAGAAGAAGCACCGGCUAACUCCGUGCCAGCAGCCGCGGUAAUAC